rnacentral:tRNA from 1 species
ACUUGAAUAGCUUAUAUUAGAUCUUAACAUUGAAGAUGUUAUUGAGAUUUAAAUCUUCAAGUG